GGAUUUGAUCCUGGUCCAGGAUGAACGCUGGCGGCGUGGAUAAGGCAUGCAAGUCGCGCGGAUUAGUUUGCGAUUACAUCAAGAAUUAGUUAGCGGCGAACGGGUUAGUAACACCUUAGAACAUACCUCGAAGUCAGGCAUAGCCUAUCGAAAGAUAGGGUAAUUCCUGAUGGUAUCCGAUUUAUCGGAUUAAAGCCGAAAGGCGCUUUGAGAUUGGCUUAGGUCUGAUCAGCUAGUUGGUGAGGUAAUGGCUCACCAAGGCUAUGACCAGUAGGGGGGCUGAGAGGCUGUUCCCCAACGAUAGCACUGAGACACGGGCUAUACUCCUACGGGAGGCAGCAGUCGAGAAUAUUCCACAAUGGGCGAAAGCCUGAUGGAGCGACGCCGCGUGCAGGAAGAAGCCCUUCGGGGUGUAAACUGCUUUUCUAUAAGAAAAACUUUUGUGAUUGUAUUAUAGGAAUAAGGGGCGGCAAACUUCGUGCCAGCAGCAGCGGUAAUACGAAGGCCCCAAGCGUUAUCCGGAUUUAUUGGGCGUAAAGCGUGCGUAGGAGGUUCGGUAAGUCUGUUGUUAAAUUUCACUGCUUAACGGUGGAGCUGCAAUUGAUACUAUCGAACUAGAGUGUGCGAGAGGCUAGUAGAACUCACAGUGUAGGGGUGAAAUCCGUUGAUAUUGUGGGGAAUACCAAAGGCGAAGGCAUCUAGCUGGCGCAUUACUGACUCUGAGGUACGAAAGCGUGGGGAGCAAAAAGGAUUAGAUACCCUUGUAGUCCACGCCCUAAACUAUGUCGACUAGCUAUUUCGAGUAUCGACCCUCGGAGUGGCGAAGCUAACGCGUUAAGUCGACCGCCUGGGAAGUACGGCCGCAAGGCUAAAACUCAAAGGAAUAGACGGGGACUCGCACAAGCGGUGGAGCAUGUGGUUUAAUUCGACAAUAAACGAAGAACCUUACCAAGGUUAGAAAUCCAGACGAAAACUUUCCGAAAGGAUUGUUGUCUCUCAA
rnacentral:rRNA from 1 species